rnacentral:misc_RNA from 1 species
GAUGAAGAACGUAGCGAAAUGCGAUAAGUAGUGUGAAUUGCAGAAUUCAGUGAAUCAUCGAAUCUUUGAACGCACAUUGCGCCCCUUGGUAUUCCAUGGGGCAUGCCUGUUCGAGCGUCAUUUGUACCCUCGAGCUUUGCUUGGUGUUGGGUGUUUGUCCCGCGUUGCGCGUGGACUCGCCUUAAAGCGAUUGGCAGCCGGCAUAUUGGCCUUGGAGCGCAGCACAUUUUGCGCUUCUAGUCAUGAAUGUUGGCGUCCAUUAAGCCUAUACAUUUGCUCUUGACCUCGGAUCAGGUAGGGAUACCCGCUGAACUUAAGCAUAUCAAUAAGCGGAGGA